CUUCUUGGGUUUAAUAUGAAGUCUGGUCUGCCCACUGAAUAAUAAUUUAAAGGGCCGCGGUAUUUUGACCGUGCAAAGGUAGCAUAAUCAUUAGUUAUCUAAUUAGUAACUGGGAUGAAUGGUUUGACGAAAUAAUUAGUGUCUCUAAUGUAAUUGAUUGAAUUUUACUUUUAAGUUAAAAGGCUUAAAUAUUAAUAAGGGACGAUAAGACCCUAUAGAUCUUUAUAAUAAUUUUAUUAUUAUUGUUUUGGGUGUUUUUUAAUAUAUUUUAUUAAUUUUAUUAUUUUGUUGGGGUGAUGUGAGAAUAUAUAAGCUUCUUAAUUUUUAACUUUGAUGAUUGAGUUUAAGAUCCUAUGUUUAUGGAAAAAAGAUUAAGAUACCUUAGGGAUAACAGCGUAAUCUUGUUGGAAAGUUCUUAUUGAUAAUAAGGAUUGCGACCUCGAUGUUGGAUUAAGAAUAUAAAUUGGUGUAGAUGCUAAUAUUGUUGGUCUGUUC
rnacentral:rRNA from 1 species